rnacentral:lncRNA from 1 species
GGAGUGCUUCUUUUGCAAGAAGCAGGGGCACUGGAAGAGGAACUGUCCUCUAUACAUUGCCUCCCUGGACCCAAACAGGCCGAAGAAGAAGCAAGGUAAUUAUAUGAUAAUACCUUGCAACUUUUUCAUUUGUGAUACUACUGCCUGGGUAUUGGAUACCGGAAGCCCUUAUCAUAUUUGCAAUUCGAUGCAGGGUCUGCAGAUCAGUAGGAGAUUUGAUG